rnacentral:rRNA from 1 species
GAUGAACGCUGGCGGUAUGCUUAACACAUGCAAGUCGAACGGUACCUUCGGGUAUAGUGGCGGACGGGUGAGUAACGCGUGAGAAUCUAUCUUCAGGUCGGGGACAACAGUUAGAAAUGACUGCUAAUACCGGAUGUGCCGAAAGGUAAAAGAUUUAUUGCCUGAAAAAGAGCUCGCGUCAGAUUAGCUAGUAGGUGGUGUAAGAGACUACCUAGGCUUCGAUCUGUAGCUGGUCUGAGAGGACGAUCAGCCACACUGGAACUGAGACACGGUCCAGACUCCUACGGGAGGCAGCAGUGGGGAAUUUUCCGCAAUGGGCGAAAGCCUGACGGAGCAAUACCGCGUGAGGGACGAAGGCUCUUGGGGCGUAAACCUCUUUUCUCAAGGAAGAUUCAGACGGUACUUGAGGAAUAAGCAUCGGCUAACUCUG